rnacentral:rRNA from 1 species
CGCAUUUAUUAGACCAAAAACCGGGUGGCUUCGGUUUCGGCCGUUGUCCUCCAAACACGGUUUCGUGGUGACUCUGAAUAACUACCGCCGAGCGCUCAGGUCUCAGUACCGGCGCCGUAUCCUUCAAGUGUCUGCCUUAUCAGCUCUCGAUUGUAGGUUAUUCGCCUACAAUGGCUGUAACGGGUAACGGGGAAUCAGGGUUCGAUUCCGGAGAGGGAGCCUGAGAGACGGCUACCACAUCUAAGGAAGGCAGCAGGCACGCAAAUUACCCAAUCUCGGCUCGAGGAGGUAGUGACGAAAAAUAACGAUGCGGGACUCUUCCGAGGCCUCGCAAUCGGAAUGAGUUCAAUUUAAAAACUUGGACGAGGAUCCAUUGGAGGGCAAGUCUGGUGCCAGCAGCCGCGGUAACUCCAGCUCCAAUAGCGUAUAUUAAAGUU